CAUAUCUUAUCUCUGUCGAGAUAUUCUUCAUCGAUUCUCUUCAGUUUUGAUCGCGCCAAAACGGCUUACAUUGACGUAGAUCGUGCUGAACUAAGGAAUGACGAAAAUGCACAUCCAGCGGCGGCUGCUGGCGGUUUAAUCUAUAAUUCUCAAAUUUGCCUGGCUUGUUCAGACGAGGAAUCACCACCGGACGUCGUCUACAACCCUUGCCAGCACUGUAUUUUUUGUCAAGCAUGUCAAAGACAGUACGUGCAAAGUCUGCUUGGAGAUGGGCAAAUUUUAACAUGUAGUUACUGCCGACAAGAGGUUGUCUCAGUUGACUUGCUUAUUUAAAAAUAUUAAUCCUCAUUACUUAUUAUGUCUUUAAUUUAAAUUUAAUUUUGUUAAAGAAACUUAAAUUU